ACCAUAAACCAAAUCUAUAUCCAAACCAAACCAUAUUUAAAAACCCAGCCCAAAAUAAAAAAUUAAAACCGGAGGCCCAUUUAUCAAAACUAAAAACAAACCGUAAACCAUUAUUGAAUUCGGAUUUCAUUAUCGGUUACCACUUACCAAAUUUGAGAAAAACCCUAAUUCCCAAACCCUCUCUUCUAUCUCUUCUCUUCUAUCUGAGAUAGCUGUCACAAACCCUAAUUCCCAAAAUUGCCACACCACCCUCCGCCUAAUUCUCUUCCACCUUCUCCAUCUCCGAUUCUCUCUGCACUUUCCGCUCAUUCCAUCCAAUCUUAGAUCCCAGACUCACGACUGAACCGCCGUGUCGAAAACUUCUUGAAGGUACUGAAGCUGCACCCAGGAAGAAGGGAGCUGCUGCUUCUGCCUAAGCCUUUAAUUAUAGUAGUGGAGCUAUUUUUGUGUUGGAUCAUUGAUCUUUGGAAACAUUACUCUAUUUUUAGUUUUCAUUUCCCUCUUUUAAUAUGUAACUGCUGGAUCUUUUGUGGACCAUAUUAGGAUUAAAUAAUGCUACUUUUAAUCUUAAUUUUGUAGAACUUAUGUCUCUUUACAUGUUAAACAGAAUUUGCUCUUAUAAGUCACAA